GAUGAACGCUGGCGGCGUGCCUAAUACAUGCAAGUCGAGCGAACGGACGAGAAGCUUGCUUCUCUGAUGUUAGCGGCGGACGGGUGAGUAACACGUGGAUAACCUACCUAUAAGACUGGGAUAACUUCGGGAAACCGGAGCUAAUACCGGAUGAUAUUUUGAACCGCAUGGUUCAAAAGUGAAAGACGGUCUUUCUGGCAGUUAUAGCUGGAUCCGCGCUGCAUUAGCUAGUUGGUAAGGUAACGGCUUACCAAGGCAACGAUGCAUAGCCGACCUGAGAGGGUGAUCGGCCACACUGGAACUGAGACACGGUCCAGACUCCUACGGGAGGCAGCAGUAGGGAAUCUUCCGCAAUGGGCGAAAGCCUGACGGAGCAACGCCGCGUGAGUGAUGAAGGUCUUCGGAUCGUAAAACUCUGUUAUUAGGGAAGAACAUAUGUGUAAGUAACUGUGCACAUCUUGACGGUACCUAAUCAGAAAGCCACGGCUAACUACGUG
rnacentral:rRNA from 1 species